UAGAGGUGCUGUGACAGUAGAGGUGCUGUGACAGUAGGGGUGUCACAGCACCUCUACUGUCACAGCACCUCUACUGUCACAGCACCUCUACG
rnacentral:pre_miRNA from 1 species